rnacentral:rRNA from 1 species
UACGGAGGGUGCAAGCGUUAUCCGGAUUCACUGGGUUUAAAGGGUGCGUAGGCGGACAGGUAAGUCAGUGGUGAAAUCUCUGGGCUUAACCCAGAAACUGCCGUUGAUACUAUUUGUCUUGAAUAUCCUGGAGGUAGGCGGCAUAUGUCAUGUAGCGGUGAAAUGCUUAGAUAUGACAUAGAACACCGAUAGCGAAGGCAGCUUACUACAGGAUGAUUGACGCUGAGGCACGAAAGCGUGGGGAGCAAGCAGG